AAGUAUGAAAUUGACAACAAAAUCACACAACUAUUUUGCAGAUGCUAUUUUUAUUUGAUGGAUCUAACUAAACUAGUAAGCAAAAAAAUUAAUGGCAAAACCAAAGUUGAGGUGCGCCAAAGACGAAAGAUGGUCGCUCCAUGACAGCCAGCUCUAGUGACAGGAGGCACUCGAAGCAUAGGUGAGAGCGCUUCUCCAUCCAGAGAUAGAAAGGUUUUUUCUACAUCAUCAACCCCAAAGAGUCUAGUAUUGGCCUCUGAAACGACGGUAUUAUUCUGCUUCCCACUUUUUUCCCAAGACAUAGGAUGGAGAGAAGAGAAUAUAGACAAGAAAAGACAGAAAGCUCACACAAGCUUGCUUGCUUACUGUAAUGUAAUGGUUAUAGAGAGUUAGUAUUUAUUAAAUUGAUGGAAGCAUCAAAAGGUUGCAGAGAAAAAGAGAGAGGCAUGGCAGCGCUUGCAGUAUAGAUCACGUGUGUGAGAGCGCUUCUUCAUCGAGAGAUACAAAGACUUUUACUACAACAUCAACCCCAAAGAGUCCAGUAUUGGCCUCUGAAACAAUAUUCUUCUCCUACCCGUUCUUUUUUCCUUAAUUAUUUUCUCGGUUUUGUUCUUUUCCAGUGAAAGCACUUCUCCAUCAAGAGAUACAAAGGUAUUCUUUACACAUCAGUAACGUCCAGAGUAGAAUGGUAUUCUGCUUUCCACUUUUUUUUUUCGAGACAUAGGAGGGAGAGAAGAGAAUAUAGAUAGGGGAAGUAAAAUAGUUCUAACUUGAUAGCAAAACAACAUAAAAUUGAAUAUGAACUGGGAUUGAGUAUCGAUUCAUGGGGUGACAGUGAUGUUUUGCUUCUUCAAGAAAUAAUGUGUCUAAAACAUUCCAUAUUUACCGUGAAUGGAUUAAUGGAUCCAAUUAUGUGUUAAAUUUUGGAAGGAUAUUUUUUCCGAAUCCAUUUGCCUAUAGAGAAUUGGUUUCUCUCUUCCUAUUUUUAUCAUUCUUCCAUUCUUGAAUGAGUCAACCCGCGUGUGCGUACCUCCCUAGUAAGUUAGCCAAGACAAAAUGAGCUGAGAAAUACGUUAUUGCAACAAUUGAAAAACUUGAUUACCCUUCCUCUUGUUGUUAAGUGUUUAUUCUUUGCUCUUGACUUUGUUCCAGCAUGUUCAAAAGUUUUCUCUUUCUCUCCCGUCUAAGACAGAAAAAUGAAAGGUAGCAUGUGCAACUUAUCUCCAUUAGAGACUACAAGACAAGAUAAAACAUGUGUUAUACUUUGGGUUUCUGUUAGGGUUUCAUGGUUUAAAUCUAUGUAAAUGAGUAGUUUUAAUAAGUUUUUGUCUGGAUUUUGUUUCGCUGUUGGUUUUUGAGUUUAGGGUCUCUACAACAUUCAUUGUUGCUCUUUGAGUUUGUGAUUUUCAUUUCAUCAACAUCAACAACACCGAAUAUUCUACUACCCAUUCCUUUUUUUCUUAAUCAUUUUCUUGAUUUUGUUCUUUUUCAGUUUGAGCCCUUCUCCAUCGAGAUAGUAAAUGUUUUCUAUACAACAUCAACCCCUAAGAGUCCAAUCUUGACCUCAGAAACGUUAUUCUUUUGCUACCCAGUUUUUUUUUCUUAAUCAUUUUCUUGGUUUUGUUCUUUUUCAAUCAAAGCGCUUCUCCAAGUUUCCAGAUUUAUGCCAACAUCACAACAUUGAAUUCCUCCCGUUUAGAGCUAUACUUGCUUCAACAAUUGACAGUACAACAGGUCAAUUAUUACAUACACCAUUCUCAAAGAGGUUCUAGAAAACCUAUCAAGCUACAUUUCAGAUGAUGUUAUACUAUAAUUCUUACUAGAACCCCUGCGUUUUCCUAGGGUGGUUUACGGAUGAAGCAAGGUUGACUCUCCACACCUAUUGGAGUUGCUCCCAUUUAUCCAAUGGUUUAAGAAAUAUGUUGGAUGGUUCACUAACGAUCCAAUAAUAGUAUUGACUCAAUCUAUGCAAUCCAUUAUUUUCUUUUGUAAUUGGAUAUUUUGGCUGGAUUUAUUUAUGGAUGAAUUAGAAAGUUAUGGGAUAAAUAGAUCCAAUUGUCA